ensembl:rRNA 5S_rRNA 5S ribosomal RNA
AUCUACGGAUGUACCACUGUGAACAUGACUGAUCUUUUCUGAUCUCAGAAGCUAAGCAGGGUCAGACCUGGUUGGUGCAUGGAUGGGAGAGCACCUGUGAAUACCAGGUGCUGUAUCCC